AGCAGCAGACUCAACAGCAGGGGAGGAGAUGGAUGCCAAUGAAGAGGAAAGGGGAGGAGGAGCAAUGGGUUCAAUUACGGGAGGGAGAGGAGGUGCAAUGGGAGGAGCAGAAGCAACAGGUUUGAUUACAGGAGGAAGAGCAACAGGUUCGAUUACAGGAGGAGAAGCAACAGGUUCGAUUACAGGAGGAGAAGCAACAGGUUCGAUUACAGGAGGAGAAGCAACAGGUUCGAUUACAGGAGGAAGAGCAACGGGUUCGAUUACAGGAGGAAGAACAACGGGUUCGAUUACAGGAGGAAGAACAACGGGUUCGAUUACAGGAGGAAGAACAACGGGUUCGAUUACAGGAGGAAGAACAACGGGUGUGAUUACAGGAGGAAGAACAAAGGGUUCGAUUACAGGAGGAAGAACAACAGGUUCGAUUACAGGAGGAAGAACAACGGGUGUGAUGACAGGAGGAUCAGCAACAGGUUUGAUUACAGGAGGUGCAGGGAUGGUAUUGCGUUCCAU